CACGUAGGGGGCAAGCGUUGUCCGGAUUUAUUGGGCGUAAAGAGCUCGUAGGUGGUUCGGUAAGUCGGGUGUGAAACCUCCAGGCUCAACCUGGAGACGCCACCCGAUACUGCCGUGACUAGAGUCCAGUAGGGGAGCGUGGAAUUCCACGUGUAGCGGUGAAAUGCGUAGAGAUGUGGAGGAACACCAGUGGCGAAAGCGGCGCACUGGACCACAACUGACGCUGAGGCGCGAAAGCUAGGGGAGCAAACAGG
rnacentral:rRNA from 1 species